rnacentral:misc_RNA from 1 species
AACGCACGAGACCUGCGGACCUGCGGAAGGAUCAUUAACACGUAUCCAAACGUACCAACCACUCACUACUUGCUUAGCUAGUAGUACGAACCUUCAACCCGUGCCUCGGUUUGUGUUUGACUUUGUAGGUGACUUGUCAUCUGCAAGAGAAGCAGCCCUUUGACUGGGAACGGUCUCGGUGGCUGGAUUCGAGACAGGUUAGUUAUGCUCACUUGUUUUCUGAUCGCACAGCUGAGGUGC